rnacentral:rRNA from 1 species
GUCGAGCGGACAGAUGGGAGCUUGCUCCCUGAUGUUAGCGGCGGACGGGUGAGUAACACGUGGGUAACCUGCCUGUAAGACUGGGAUAACUCCGGGAAACCGGGGCUAAUACCGGAUGGUUGUUUGAACCGCAUGGUUCAAACAUAAAAGGUGGCUUCGGCUACCACUUACAGAUGGACCCGCGGCGCAUUAGCUAGUUGGUGAGGUAACGGCUCACCAAGGCAACGAUGCGUAGCCGACCUGAGAGGGUGAUCGGCCACACUGGGACUGAGACACGGCCCAGACUCCUACGGGAGGCAGCAGUAGGGAAUCUUCCGAAAUGGACGAAAGUCUGACGGAGCAACGCCGCGUGAGUGAUGAAGGUUUUCGGAUCGUAAAGCUCUGUUGUUAGGGAAGAACAAGUACCGUUCGAAUAGGGCGGUACCUUGACGGUACCUAACCAGAAAGCCACGGCUAACUACGUGCCAGCAGCCGCGGUAAUACGUAGGUGGCAAGCGUUGUCCGGAAUUAUUGGGCGUAAAGGGCUCGCAGGCGGUUUCUUAAGUCUGAUGUGAAAGCCCCCGGCUCAACCGGGGAGGGUCAUUGGAAACUGGGGAACUUGAGUGCA